AACCUUGCCCUAAGUGGUGGGCAAGAAGAGCUAAGUGGAGCUGACAGG
rnacentral:sRNA from 12 species